UCAGCUUUUGCUGGCAUGUUGUUAUUACAGAGUUACCCUAUCUCUUUGAAUCGUCAUAUGUACUCCAGCCUCUUAUAGAUUAUGCAACUAGCUAAUGGUUGGAACUUUAAUACUUAGCUUUAUUUACAGGUAGCACAACCUCAUGUUAGUUGCCAUUUUAUUGCUACAGAUAUGGUUUUGUUCUGAUUGUAUAUGUGAUGAUUUUAUCCAUGUGUAUGUAUGUGGUCUUCAAAGUUGUUGAAAGAUUGAAAGCGUAAGCAAGUUCGCCAAAUUCCUUCGGUAAGUCAUAUAUUCUUGUGUCUCUUUCCUAUGUUUUAGAGGUUUAUAGAAGAUAUGAGGUAGAAUAUUUCCUUUUCAGUAUAUCUGAAAUUAUAUGGGAGAGAUUACUAGCUCACACAUAUAGUUCGGUUAUUAGCUUUCUAAAUAAGUUCAGCCCUAGAGCACAUAUUUUUGCAUCCAUUGCUUAUUUAAUCCAUUGGUAUCUAUUUUCUCCGGUUCAUAUAGUAUGUUUACAUUUGACUUGGAAUUGUCUGUACUUUUGUUCUGCUUUUGUUUCAAGGUACUUUCAAAGAAAUCAAUGUCCCAUCUGUCUAUGGAAAACUCUAAGAAGGCUCGAUUGGCACAUGAAGCUCUUAAAUACUUGAGAGCCUUUUACAACA
rnacentral:lncRNA from 1 species